UUUGGAUGCUGCUCCACCAACCACAAUCACCUUGUAUUAGCAGGGAGCACCCAAGUUUAAGAUGAAGCAUUCCACAAGGGCCACUUAACUUGCUAAUCCAUAAAAUGCACAGACACCAGGAGUCCUCCAGAGGGUGAAUCCUUGCAACUGCCUUCUGCUUUUUUAUCCAUCACCUCCAUACGCCCUUACAGAACACAUGAAAAAUGAUGACUUCACUGCUUUCAACAAUAAAAGAUGGAGGAGCACCGUAUAUCAGGAUUUGAAAUCUGCAUGGGUGCCAAACUUCGGGAACAGACCACUUCCCAGAAAUACAGAAGAAAGGUAGAAGCGGCACUCCAACUUAACUCAAAAAUAAAAGAAACUACACAAAGACACAAAGCAAGUGCCAGCAAUUUGUUUAUGGAAUUAUUCAUAAUUUUUUCAAGGCCUGAUCUAAUAUUAUCCCAUGGAGUCUGCAAACAGCUUGCUCU